rnacentral:rRNA from 1 species
GACGAACGCUGGCGGCGUGCCUAAUACAUGCAAGUCGAGCGAGCUUGCCUAGAUGAAUUUGGUGCUUGCACCAAAUGAAACUAGAUACAAGCGAGCGGCGGACGGGUGAGUAACACGUGGGUAACCUGCCCAAGAGACUGGGAUAACACCUGGAAACAGAUGCUAAUACCGGAUAACAACACUAGACGCAUGUCUAGAGUUUAAAAGAUGGUUCUGCUAUCACUCUUGGAUGGACCUGCGGUGCAUUAGCUAGUUGGUAAGGUAACGGCUUACCAAGGCAAUGAUGCAUAGCCGAGUUGAGAGACUGAUCGGCCACAUUGGGACUGAGACACGGCCCAAACUCCUACGGGAGGCAGCAGUAGGGAAUCUUCCACAAUGGACGCAAGUCUGAUGGAGCAACGCCGCGUGAGUGAAGAAGGGUUUCGGCUCGUAAAGCUCUGUUGGUAGUGAAGAAAGAUAGAGGUAGUAACUGGCCUUUAUUUGACGGUAAUUACUUAGAAAGUCACGGCUAACUACGUGCCAGCAGCCGCGGUAAUACGUAGGUGGCAAGCGUUGUCCGGAUUUAUUGGGCGUAAAGCGAGUGCAGGCGGUUCAAUAAGUCUGAUGUGAAAGCCUUCGGCUCAACCGGAGAAUUGCAUCAGAAACUGUUGAACUUGAGUGCAGAGAGGAGAGUGGAACUCCAUGUGUAGCGGUGGAAUGCGUAGAUAAUGGAAGACACCAGUGGCGAGGCGGCUCUUUGGUCUGCACUGACGCUAGGCUCGAAAGCAUGGUAGCGACCGAUAAGAAACCCUAGUAGUCUAAGGCGAUUCACAGUGAAUUCAAGCUUAUCGAUACGGUCGACCUCAAGGGGAGAUCAGUAUCCAGCUUUUGUUCCAUUAUGAAGCUAAUAAC